GACAAGUAGCACAUGUAUUGCUGGUUUGGUUCCAGCUAAAAAAUACUACUAAUAUUGUUACUAACAUGUAUCUAUCAUCAUCAUAAAAUAAUUAAAGAAAAAACAAUAUCGAUCUUUGGGUUUAUUGACAUUGAAACUUUGAAUUUGAAAGAUUCAUUUUGUUGUGAUUUGUGAAGAACAGCUUCUUCUUGUUAUACAUUUUCGACAAAAAAUAAAUAAAAAAGAAGAAAGCAAACUAAUGGAGGCUAUUGAGGGAGAAACAAUCCUCUCAGCUUCUGUGGGUGUGUUGUUGGAAAAACUUGUUUCUGCUGAGUUUGUGGACAACUUCCGGAGCAUCAAGCUUGACGAUUCACUCUUGGAAAAGCUGAAGAUAACACUAACGAGGGUUCUAAUUGCACUCGAUGAUGAUGAUGCUGCUGCUGAUGUUGACAACGAUACGCUGAUAUAUGCUGUCUUUGAAGUUGAAGAUUUGAUAGAUGAAUUCAACACUGAGGCGUUGCGCUGCAAAGUGGAAUCUGGGGAUCAAAUCCUAAGUUCUGCUUCUCAGGUUCUGAAAAAUCUUUCCUCUCCUUUCAAACGGUUUAAUAGUGUGAUUAAUUCUAAAUUGCAAAAAUCAAUUGAAAGAUUAGAGUUCUUGAGUUCAGGUAAAUUAGGUGUUUCCAAUUCCAACAGUGGUUGGAAAUGGAAUGGAACUCUUAAAAGUUAUGAUGUUGUUGAUGAAUCUUCUAUACAACUCCCCUCACUCUCAACUUCUGUGAAGGUGUUGUUAGACAGGCUUGAUUCUACUGCGCUCGUCCACAACUUCCGGAGCAAGAUGCUCGACGUUUCACUCUUGAAAGACCUUAAGACAGCACUGCUGUAUAUUGAUUAUGCUAUUGCUAGGAAGAUACUUACUAUAGGGCAUUGGGUGGAUAUGCUGAGAUAUGCUAUCUUUGAAGUUGUCUAUUUGUUUGACGAAAUCAAACCUAAGCAUUGCAAAGUGGAAGGAAAGUUGAAAACUAUUUCUCCUCCUUUCAUAUGGUUUAAGUUUAAUGGAGUGACUAAUUCUAAAUUGCAAAAAUUAAUUAAGAAAUUAGAAUUCUUGAGUUCACGAGCACUGCGUCAAUUUGGUGGUUACAGUUCCAGAAGAGUUUGGAAUGAAAAUCCUACAAGUUCUAUUUUAGAUGAUGAAUCUUAUAUUUAUGGAAGAGAUCUUGAUAUAAAGGAACUUAAACAUCUUUUGUUGUCUACUGAUGGUGGGGAGAGUAAAAUAGGAAUUAUUUCCAUUUUGGGUGUUGAAGGGAUUGGUAAAACAACACUUGCUAAACUUCUUUACAACGAUCCCGAAGUAUGUGACAAAUUUGAGUUAAAACUGUGGACAAAUGUCUCAAAACAUUUGUAUGAUUUGAGAAUGACAGAAGCAAAAUCUAUCAGCAUGAUUUCGGAAACCAUUUUUAAUGACUUGAAUGCUUAUAGAAAUGGUAAAAGUGACGAGAAUAACAUUUACCCAAAAAUCUUGCUGGUAUUGGAUGAGGUAUCAAAUGUAAAAUCUAUCCAGACAUUACUGAUGAAUAUUUCUAAUGUUGUCCAUCCGGAAAGUAUGAUCAUCAUCACAGCACUGGAUGAAGGAGUUGCAGAAUCCAAGAAAAACUUUGCAGAAUCCAUGCGAACUCUUGAACUAACCAUGCAAACCUUUCUAUUUUUCCACUACUUAAGAACUCUGAAAAAUGAUGAUUGUUGGUCAUUACUUGCCAGACAUGCAUUUAGAGCAUGUAACGACAAACAACAGUCCAAACUAACAGGAAUUGGGAGAGAAAUUGCAAAAAAAUGUUAUGGAUCACCAUUUGCUGCAGUAGCACUUGGUGAUAUUCUUCGCUCCAAAUUGUCCCCAGAUUACUGGAAUUUUGUGCUAGAAAGUGACAUUUGGGUUUUGAUAAAUUCUGACAUGCAACCUUUUAUACAACUGACCUACAAUUAUCUUCCGAGUCCUUUAAAACGAUGCUUUGCAUAUUGUUCAAUUUUUCCGAAGAAGUCCAACAUAGAAAAAAAUUUGGUAGUUCAGUUGUGGAUUGCAGAAGGCUUCAUAGAAUCGUCCACAGACCUGGAAAAAGUUGGAGAAGAAUACUUUGAUGUACUAGUAUCAAGGUCGUUGAUACAUCGACGAUCUAUUGGUGAUAAGGAACCAAAAUUUGAAAUGCAUAACCUCGUCCAUGAUUUAGCUGCCAAGGUUUCAUCUUCAUAUUGUAUCAAUAUGAACGAGCAUAACCUACAUGAUAGGGUACAUAACUUAUCAUACAAUAGAGGAAUGUAUGACUCAUAUACUAAAUUUGUAAAAUUGUAUGGACUAAAAGGUCUACGUACCUUUCUAGCCUUACCAUUACAACAACAGUUGCCUCUUUGUUUUCUAUCAAACGAGGUAGUACAUGACUUGCUGCCAAGAAUGAAACAAUUACGCGUCUUGUCUUUGACAAACUACAAGAGUAUCACUGAGGUUCACAGUUCUAUUGGAAAUUUGUUAUACCUGCAGUACUUAAAUCUUUCUCACACUAUGAUCGAAAGGUUACCUUCUGAAACAUGCAAGCUUUACAAUCUGCAGUUCUUAUUGUUGGCAGGUUGUAGAAGGCUCAUUGAAUUGCCGGAAGACAUGGGGAAACUGGUUAAUCUCCGUCACCUUGAUGUUAGUGAUACUGAAUUGAGGGUGAUGCCCGCACAAAUAACCAAACUAGAAAAUCUCCAAAAUUUGUCUGACUUUGUUGUCAGCAAACGCAAUGAUGGAUUGAAGCUUGCGGAGCUAGGAAAAUUUCCCCAACUACAUGGAAAACUUUCUAUCUCACAACUACAAAAUGUUAAUGACCCCUUUGAAGCUUUUCAAGCCAAUAUGAAGAUGAAAGAACACAUAGACGAGUUAGCUUUAGAAUGGGAUUGUGGUAGUACUUUUUCAGAUUCACAAAUUCAAAGUGUUGUACUUGAACAUUUGCGACCCUCAACAAAAUUGAAAAGUCUCACCAUCAACGGCUAUGGUGGAAUUAGCUUUCCAAAUUGGUUGGGUGAUUCUUUAUUUAGCAACUUGGUGUAUUUAAGGAUCUCAAAUUCUGAUAAUUGUCUAUGGCUUCCAGCCCUUGGACAAUUGACUAAUCUAAAAGAGCUCAUUGUUGAAGGGAUGCAAUCAAUACAAACAAUUGGUACUGUGUUUUAUGGAAAUGAUGGUUUUUCAUUUCAACCAUUUCCCUCCUUGGAGACUCUACCCUUUGAGGAUACGCAAGAGAGGAAGGAAUGGAACAUGAUUGGAGGUACAGCUACAGAGUUUCCUAGUUUAAAAACUUUGUCACUAAGUAAGUGCCCGAAACUGACAGUAGGAAACAUAUCUGACAGAUUUCCUUACUUAACUGAACUUGAGAUAAGAGAAUGUCCUCUACUGGUGCAAUCAAUCCCAUCACUGGAUCAUGUAUUCAACCAACUGAUGUUCCCUUUGAAUUAUCUUCGACAGUUGACCAUAGACGGCUUUCCAUCUCUUAUGUCUUUCCCAACAGAUGGUCUACCAAAAACCUUGCAAUUUCUCAUAAUCAGUAAUUGUGAAAAUCUAGAGUUCAUUCCUCAUGAAUACUUGCACAGUUUCACAUUGCUUGAGGAAUUGAAAAUAUCAUAUAGCUGUAAUUCAAUGAUAUCAUUUACCUUGGGCGCACUCCCUGUCCUCAAGAGUUUGUUUAUUGAGGGUUGUAAAAAUCUGAAAUCGAUAUUAAUUGCAGAAGGAGCGUCGGAGAAGAGUCUGUCAUGUCUUAGAAGCAUCAAAUUAUGGGAUUGUAACGAAUUGGAGUCAUUUCCUCCAGGUGGGUUGGCCACUCCAAAUCUCAUUUAUAUUGCAGUGUGGAAGUGUGACAAGCUUCGUUCACUACCUGAAGCAUUGAACACUCUAAAUCGCCUUCAGGAAAUGGAAAUUGAUAAUCUACCAAAUCUUCAAUCUUUUCUUAUAGAUGAUUUGCCUACCAGUUUACGGGAAUUGACCGUUGGUUCUGUUGGAGGGAUGUUGUGGAAUAAUAAGCCAACUUGGGGACGUCUCAAUUGUUUGUCAGUGUUGCGAAUUCAAGAUGGUGAUAAGGUGAACACGUUCGUGGGGCCAUUCCUACCUGCAUCUCUCGUCACACUAUGCAUCUCUGGUCUUACUGAUAAACGCAUUGAAUGGAAGUGGCUUCAACAUCUCACUUCUCUCCAAAACCUUGAGAUUGUUAAUGCUUCCAAACUCAAGUCGUUGCCUAAAAACGGAUUAAUGAUUUCCUCUCUUUCAGUACUAAGUAUUACUCUCUGCCCAUUACUAGUAGCAAGGUUGCGGAGGAAGCGAGGGAAAGAGUGGCGUAAGAUAGCUCACAUUCCCUCCAUAAUUAUUGAUGGUGAAUUGAUCACAUAAGUAUCCUAUCCGGAGUUAUAUUCUGUGUCACACCUGCUUCUGCCCAACCUUGCUAUUGUGAGAAGCUAAAAUCGCAUGCACCACCUGCAACCCAAUUAAUGUUUUACUUAUGCGGAACAGAUGAAAAGGAGAAACAACAAGUGACUUCAAAUAUAUUAGAUCUACCAAGGGCUUCAAGUGUGAUUAAUGAUGGCUUGCAACAAGAUGGCAGCAGUGGAAUCUCAAGUAUAAAUUGCCGUGGAAUCUAAGGGCUUCAAGUGGGACUGAUGGCUUGCAACAAGAUGACAGCAGUGGAAUCUAAGACAUUUUGCAAGAGGCAAACCACAGAUGCAUGGCCUACAGCUAUUCCAGUAACUGUUUUUUCUGUCAAGAGUUGAUGAGAAGGACAAAUAGUAACAUUGGCUCAAAAAAUUUAGGUUUGUAUUUGCUCAACUUGAGAUAGAUUCGUCAAAUGGUUUUCUCCGCAAAUUUGAAAGAUUUUCGGGCAAUAUCCAGGCCUUCGUAGAAAGAUCCUCAACAAUAGCCAUAUCUUCAUCCUCUAUAUAGUUCCCACAUUCAGAAAAGAAACAUCCAAGAUUCCAAACCACGGGGAGCAGAGCACCUUCAAUUCUGCCGGCAAGCUCACUUUCUUUGUUGAUGUUAAGCCUCUCCAUAAUGGUGUGAUGAACACUCAACUCAGAAGGAAAAUUAUGAUUGAAAAGGAUAUGAGUGAAGGAUGCAUACAUAACUUUAUAUAUGCACUUUUUUAAAGGCCAUCUAAUUAAGAUUUAGUUAUUGGUGGAAUAAUUGUGAAAAUUGUAAAGGCUUUCUAAUUAAGAUUUAUUUAUAUGACUGAUCUAUAUAAAACAGGUACAAAUGCACUUUUUUAUGCGAGGUUUAUUUAAAACAUGGAUGACUUAGAGAGAUUCAAUAAAUUUUUUAGUUGUUAACAAUAGCACCACAAGUCUGAGGGAAACUCACCGGCUCUAGCAAGGCCAAUUAUUUUGAACGCUGACAUUGCCAUCCAUAGAUUUGGGCUGAGACCAUACAACGU